GUAACGCGUAUGUAACCUGCCCGCAACAGAGGGAUAACCCGGCGAAAGUCGGACUAAUACCUCAUAAAACAGGGGUUCCGCAUGGGGCUAUUUGUUAAAGAUUUAUUGGUUGCGGAUGGGCAUGCGUACCAUUAGGUAGUUGGUGAGGUAACGGCUCACCAAGCCAUCGAUGGUUAGGGGUUCUGAGAGGAAGGUCCCCCACACUGGUACUGAGACACGGACCAGACUCC
rnacentral:rRNA from 1 species